AACACUUUUUAAAAUGGUAAAAAAAAAAAAAAACCGGUUAAUGGCAUUGUUGUCGCCAGCUGUCUCCUUGCUCUCUCAAUUUCACUCUCUUCUUCUUCGACAAGCUGAAAGGGAUAUGGGGGAAAUCUAGGGCUUUUACUCGGCGAAUUUGCAAGCCUUUCUUCGAUACAUCACGAACCAGGGAGAAAGCACGCUUGGACAACCACCAUAUCACCGGAGACAUCACGAACAAUAAUUCCGAUGCCAAAACCAUUCUUCUCCGACACGCGAGCUACGUCAAUAUUCGUUUUUAACCGACCUGCAGUCAGAGAAUGCCAGCGACACUCCUCUCUAGAACUCAAUAUGCAGGGUCCACGGCCUGAGGGGCCUUUUCGUCUGGCAGGGUAGGAAGAUGGAAACACUGCAUCGAGGAGGCUCUACGAUCAGCGGAUCUUCGAACAUCGUGCAUACACGACUCGAUCCAAUAACCUUCCCUUCCACCGGACAAAUAUCUAAAGACUGAUUCACCAGAUUUCUAUCGCUCCAAAUAACCCAACUUAUAACUCCAAAUCUCAAGAAUUCCUCCUCGCUCAGUCGAUUCGCCACUUAAAAGAGCAACUCACAAAUAGGUGCUUCAGCAUCAACAAUAUGUUUAAGGACAGAUUGGUGGCAAGUUGAUGUUCCGACUUCAAAAACAAAUCUCAUUAGAAAAUAUAAUGUUCUCGAGCAGUAGGAAAUACUCAACAAAUGCAAGAGUAUUAUAAACGAGCUGUCAGAGCCUUUCUCCCCACGUUGUCCACUUUGUUUUGCAGAUUCAGAAGACCUUCGGCAUUUGUUCUUCAAUUGUUAUGCUGAAAAUUGUUGGCAAAACUUGUCUGAAUGCCUCAACCUUUGUUGGUCUUUUGGUUAUGGUUUCAAGGACAAUGUUCUGUAGGUCUUUUGGUUAUGGUUUCAAGGACAAUGUUCUGUAGCUGCUGAUCGGUCCUAAGUUAAAAGAAAAGCCAAGGUUGAUUUGGGCUAAUGUAGGAAAAGCAUUGCUAACAAAACUGUGGUUUGAAAAAGCUUCCCUUUGGACGAUUCGUUUUGAGAUAGCUCGGCUUAAUAUCCUUUCUCGUGGUGUUCCUCCCUAUCCAAAGCCUUUGAAUAUUACUUCAUCCAAGACAUUAGUCUUAAUUGGAAGGCUUUCAUCUUCCCUCCAUCGUGGUCCUUUUUCGUUUUUGUUUAGUAUUUUUGCUGGUUGUAUUUUGUUAUUUUGUCCUUGUUUUAGUUUCAAGAUACUGUACUAUUUGAGUUUGGCUUUGUGCUAGUUCUUAGCAGUUUUUAGGAACCUUGUUCUUUAUUUAUUGGAGAUGAUGAGAGUGCUAAUGGGGUGUUGCUUAGUUAAGAUGUUUGGGUGCACUAAAUGAUCUUUCUGCUUUAGAUUUGUCUCUUCAUUAUACCAUUAUUCACUGUGUAUUGUCUCAUUCAUCAUCUCCAUGAAGUGGCUAGUUUCGUUUUGCAAAAAAAAAUUAUUCUAUUGUUUUACAUGUGCUAAUUCUUUCUGUUUUUCUAUUCCUCUUCAGUGCAUUAGUUGAAAGAUUUAGUAAAGCAAACAGAGGAGAGAUGUGAAAGAGGAAGCUACUAAAGAUUUGAAUGCCCUGUGGUCUCGUGUUGAUCCUAUGAGGCAUGAUCUAGAGCAAAGGCAAAGAAAUAUUGAAGUCGCCUUCAUGGAAGGUUUCUUCUUCAGUCCAAGCUUUUAAAAUGAAUCCAGUCUAGUAUUCUCAAGCAGUAAGAUAUACUCAACAAAUGCGAGAGUAUAUAAAAGAGGUGAAAACCACCGUUUCAUUUGUUUAAUGAUUGUCCAUCUUUAUUUUUAUUGUUGAAAAAUGAAAUACAGAAAAUCAGAUUUUUUUUUCUUUAUUCUUUUGUUUAAAAGAACAGUGUAUUGUUUAGGAAAUAGUUCUUAAGAAUAAGUUAUAUAAAAGAGUUGUCAAACAUAUUUGUUUUCUAAUAACUGAAAAUAAUGAAUAGUAAAUGAGAAAUGAUGACAGAAUGUAAUUCUAUGGCCCUUCUUUCCUUUUAUA